AGCAGCCGCGGUAAUUCCAGCUCCAAUAGCGUAUAUUAAAGUUGUUGCAGUUAAAAAGCUCGUAGUUGAAUUUCGGGAUCAACGGGUCGGUCGCGCCUCUGGUGUGUACUGGCCCUGUCGGUUUCUCCCUUCUGACGAACCACGAUGUCAUUAAUUUGGUGUCGUGGGAAAUCAGGACUGUUACUUUGAAAAAAUUAGAGUGUUUAAAGCAGGCAUUCGCUUGAAUACAUUAGCAUGGAAUAAUGAAAUAGGACGUUUGAUCUUAUUUUGUUGGUUUCUAAGAUCGACGUAAUGAUUAAUAGGGAUAGUUGGGGGCAUUAGUAUUCAAUUGUCAGAGGUGAAAUUCUUGGAUUUAUUGAAGACUAACUACUGCGAAAGCAUUUGCCAAGGAUGUUUUCAUUAAUCAAGAACGAAAGUUAGGGGAUCGAAGACGAUCAGAUACCGUCGUAG
rnacentral:rRNA from 1 species